UGUCAUGCCAAUGGCACUGCCCGGUAGCUAAAUGCGGAAGAGAUAAGUGCUGAAAGCAUCUAAGCACGAAACUUGCCCCGAGAUGAGUUCUCCCUGAGACUUAGAGUCUCCUGAAGGAACGUUGAAGACGACGACGUUGAUAGGCCGGGUGUGUAAGCGCAGCGAUGCGUUGAGCUAACCGGUACUAAUGAACCGUGAGGCUUAACCUUACAACGCCGAAG
rnacentral:rRNA from 4 species